rnacentral:rRNA from 1 species
GAUCCUGGCUCAGGAUGAACGCUAGCGGGAGGCCUAACACAUGCAAGCCGAGCGGUAGAGAUUCUUCGGAAUCUUGAGAGCGGCGUACGGGUGCGGAACACGUGUGCAACCUGCCUUUAUCAAGGGGAUAGCCUUUCGAAAGGAAGAUUAAUACCCUAUAAUAUAUUGACUGGCAUCAGUUAAUAUUGAAAACUACGGUGGAUAAAGAUGGGCACGCGCAAGAUUAGCUAGUUGGUGAGGUAACGG